UACAGAGGGGGCAAGCGUUGUUCGGAAUUAUUGGGCGUAAAGAGCUCGUAGGCGGUGUGUCGCGUCGGCCGUGAAAACCUGGGGCUUAACUCUGGGCUUGCGGUCGAUACGGGCAUCACUGGAGUUCGGCAGGGGAGACUGGAAUUCCUGGUGUAGCGGUGAAAUGCGCAGAUAUCAGGAGGAACACCGGUGGCGAAGGCGGCAUCCUGGACCGGCAUUGACGCUGAGGCGCGAAAGCCAGGGGAGCAAACGGG
rnacentral:rRNA from 1 species